CCCCGGCUACUGAAACGAAGUGCAAGAGCGGACCCUGGCGUCAAGAUCUUGCAACCUCCACCCGAGAGCCCUGCAGGAGGACAUCAAACCAGAAGCGCUGGAUUAAACAGACCCUUGAUUGGUGCUUGAUGUGAAAGAGCCCAGUUUACUGCGGAUGGUGCCAUUCCUGGGCAUUUCCCUCAGGCAACAUCGGCCUCAACCCCGGAGUCCAGGUGCAAAUCAUCUCUCUCACUGUUUGCAAUUAACGAUGCAGACAAGCUGGUAAGCGAAUUUCAGCUAAGCAGGCAUUCUGCUCACCAAGUUCUAAGAGCAAGCCUUCCUGUUGCAGUGCAGCCUCAAGCUCUGAAGGAUGGCGUUCCAAGAAAAGGGAUGAGAAUGAACUAAAAUAAAUGUGUAUCACAAUAGACA
rnacentral:lncRNA from 1 species